rnacentral:rRNA from 1 species
CCUACGGGGGGCUGCAGUGAGGAAUAUUGCGCAAUGGGGGAAACCCUGAGGCAGCAACGCCGCGUGGAGGAAGAAGGUCUUUACGAUCGUAAACUUCUUUUGUGAGGGAAGAGGAAGGACGGUACCUCAUGAAUAAGUCACGGCUAACUACGUGCCAGCAGCCGCGGUAAUACGUAGGUGACGAGCGUUAUCCGGAAUUACUGGGCGUAAAGCGUACGCAGGCGGCAUGGUAAGUCUGACGUGAAAUCUCCUGGCUUAACUGGGAGAGGUCGUUGGAGACUGCUGUGCUUGAGACAAUGAGAGGGGUGCAGAAUUCCCGGUGUAGUGGUGGAAUGCGUAGAUAUCGGGAGGAAUACCAGAGGCGAAAGCGGCACCCUGGCAUUGGUCUGACGCUCAUGUACGAAAGCGUGGGUAGCAAACGGGAUUAGAUACCCCGGUAGUC